CGGGCGGUAGCGCAGCCAGGUAGCGCGCGUGCUUUGGGAGCAUGAGGUCGGGAGUUCGAAUCUCCCUCGCCCGA
rnacentral:tRNA from 1 species